rnacentral:rRNA from 1 species
UGGGGAAUAUUGCACAAUGGGCGCAAGCCUGAUGCAGCCAUGCCGCGUGUGUGAAGAAGGCCUUCGGGUUGUAAAGCACUUUCAGCGAGGAGGAAGGUGGUGAACUUAAUACGUUCAUCAAUUGACGUUACUCGCAGAAGAAGCACCGGCUAACUCCGUGCCAGCAGCCGCGGUAAUACGGAGGGUGCAAGCGUUAAUCGGAAUUACUGGGCGUAAAGCGCACGCAGGCGGUUUGUUAAGUCAGAUGUGAAAUCCCCGGGCUCAACCUGGGAACUGCAUUUGAAACUGGCAAGCUAGAGUCUCGUAGAGGGGGGUAGAAUUCCAGGUGUAGCGGUGAAAUGCGUAGAGAUCUGGAGGAAUACCGGUGGCGAAGGCGGCCCCCUGGACGAAGACUGACGCUCAGGUGCGAAAGCGUGGGGAGCAAACAGGAUUAGAUACCCCUGGUAGGUCCACGCUGUAAAACCGAUGUUCGAUUUUGGAGGUUGUGCCCUUGAGGCGUGGCUUCCGGAGCUAACGUGUUAAAUCGA